rnacentral:piRNA from 1 species
UAUCUCCUUCCAUAGUGAGAAGUGAUGCAC